rnacentral:rRNA from 1 species
UACGUAGGUGCGAGCGUUGUCCGGAAUUACUGGGCGUAAAGAGCUCGUAGGUGGUUUGUCGCGUUGUUCGUGAAAACUCACAGCUUAACUGUGGGCGUGCGGGCGAUACGGGCAGACUGGAGUACUGCAGGGGAGACUGGAAUUCCUGGUGUAGCGGUGGAAUGCGCAGAUAUCAGGAGGAACACCGGUGGCGAAGGCGGGUCUCUGGGCAGUAACUGACGCUGAGGAGCGAAAGCGUGGGGGAGCGAACAGG